rnacentral:rRNA from 1 species
GAUGAACGCUGGCGGCGUGCCUAAUACAUGCAAGUCGAGCGAACGGACGAGAAUCUUGCUUCUCUGAUGUUAGCGGCGGACGGGUGAGUAACACGUGGAUAACCUACCUAUAAGACUGGGAUAACUUCGAGAAACCGGAGCUAAUACCGGAUGAUAUUUUGAACCGCAUGGUUCAAAAGUGAAAGACGGUCUUGCUGGCACGUAUUGAUGGAUCCUCGCUGCAUUAGCGAGUUGGUGAGGUAACGGCUGAUCAAGGCAACGAUGCAUAGCCGACCUGAGAGGGGGGUCGGCGACCGUGGAACUUAGACACGGUACAGAGUCCUGCGGGAGGCAGCAGUAGGGAAUGGUCCGCAAUGGGCGAAAGCCUGACGGAGCAACGCCGCGUGAGUGGUGAAGGUCUUCGGAUCGUGAAACUCUGUUAUUAGGGAAGAACAUAUGUGUAAGUACCUGGGCACGUCUUGACGGUACCUAAUCAGAAAGCGACGGCUAACUACGUG